GUAGGUGGCAAGCGUUAUCCGGAAUUAUUGGGCGUAAAGCGCGCGCAGGCGGUUUCUUAAGUCUGAUGUGAAAGCCCACGGCUCAACCGUGGAGGGUCAUUGGAAACUGGGGAACUUGAGUGCAGAAGAGAAAAGCGGAAUUCCACGUGUAGCGGUGAAAUGCGUAGAGAUGUGGAGGAACACCAGUGGCGAAGGCGGCUUUUUGGUCUGUAACUGACGCUGAGGCGCGAAAGCGUGGGGAGCAAACAGGGAUUAGAUACCCUGGUAGUCCACGCCGUAAACGAUGAGUGCUAAGUGUUAGAGGGUUUCCGCCCCUUCAGUGCUGCAGCUAACGCAUUAAGCACUCCGCCUGGGAGUACGGUCGCAAGACUG
rnacentral:rRNA from 1 species